ensembl:lncRNA
AUGCUGCCACCACAAGUGGGCUGGUGUUGGCGGACAAGAUCACAACUGCCCUGCAAUAGCAUGGGGUGGAAACUGGCAGCAGCAGCUGCAGUAGGGGAAGUUAACAGCCAGGAAGAAUGUAUGAUCUACCCUGUGCAAGGACUUGUGACCCCAGAAGUUCUGGUGAGGACUCGGAGCCAGACUGCUUUGUUCUCUCCUUUUCUCCACCGUUCUUCCUGUGCCUGUUCAUAUACACAUGGAGGGACUGAAGGAGACAGGAAGACGGCAGAACAGCAACCCGAGAGCCACCACUGUGUCUGUGCACAUCAACUACAGACUGAAAGAGUUUCCUGGAAACCCAGCUCCAUCUCAGGGACAAGGCCUUCGCCAUUCCUGAAGGUGAAUGACUUGCUCCAGGCCAACAUCAUCUCCAUGGGAGCCGCUCAGCACUUCUGGACAGGCCACGUGGUGAAGAGAGCUUGGAUGAGAGACCCCCUGCGAUCUCAUGCCAGGACCUUAGCUGAGAAUCCCUUGCUCACUUAUGUGCCCUCAGGCCCUCUCCACUCCUGCUGUCUGUGCCUACCUCUCGCCACUUCCACUCUGUCAGUAUUGAGGUAGGAGAUAGCCGGCCUCUGGGCCAGACACCUGGUAUUUGUCAAGUGGAGUAAAAUUCAAGCUUUGUUCUCACCCAGACACUCCAAGGACAAAGCUAGUGGUAAAAGCUGAGUUCUGCUAAAACAAAGAGAAAAGGUGCCCACUCCUGAGGUCAAGGAAGACUUCCCUGUCUGCACAUGUUCAGGAAGUCUUCUUUGGGGUUGAAAAGAGAAGGGACCCCACCCUAUAAUAAGUGUGGACACGCACCCAUAGGCCUCUAUGGAGGGAUACAUCUUAGAAGAAACUUGCACACACAUCUUUGGGAAGGUGUGUGGACCAGUCAGGUGUGAAGAAAGAUACAAGGUAGUUGGCCAAAGGUAAACAAAGGCCUAGAAGGGCUGUCCUAUAUAAGUGAUUUAAACACGUCCAGACUGUGUUCCUCCUCACUCACUCUGCACUCCUCUGCAGGUGUGUAUCUCUGCCCUCCUUCUGAGCUGGAUGAACAAACUGGUUUCCUGUGUGCUCUCCCAUAUGCUGUGCUAUGUAUCUAAUCAUAAACAUUGGACCUGUUUUUACAGCUUUUGCCUCCUUGAAACAGUCUUGCUUACAAACAGGGGCAAGAGCCCGGGCCACUUUUGCUUCUCGCCUCUAGUCCCUGGUGGUCUAGCGGCUAGGACUCUUGGUUUUCAUCCAGGUUCCCCAGGUUUAAUUCCGGGCAGGGAACUAGGAUCUCUCCCUCUGAGAUCAGUAUCAUCCCAGCUCCUGUGCAAAGUGAAACACUGAUCUUUCUAUAUUCUUUCCCAGUGUGACUGAGCCCCAGGCCCUUCCCAGGCUCAGGUCAGAGCUGAAAGGAGGCAUGCGUGGGAGCAGUGAGCACCAGGGAGGGAGGCUGUCUGCGACAUGCCAAAGUCAUUCCUCACCAUUUUCCAAACUGAGCAAGCCUUGCUCGGUGAAAAGCUGGAAACAUCCACGUCUGAACGGUGGUCCAGAUAGGCCCAUGUUCACUCAGUUCUCUCUCCUGCCUCACCAACCUGGACUCCUGGCAAAUGUCCUUUACAGUAACCUGGGUGAUGCAUCUUGAGGUAGAACAAGUUCACUGUCUCCAAAUAGAUGUUUACAGUGUUUCCCUUCCAUUCAGACCGCUCUCUUUUCCAUCCACUCAUCACCGAGGCAGACUUCCUGCUCUGAUGGAGUCGUGGGCUCUAGGUACGUAAUUCUAUUAGUGAGAACAGUCCACUUGCUCAGCAAGUGUCAGCAAUUAAUCUCACCUGAUUUAAAGACUGAUUGAAAUCUACUUACAAGUGAAAACUAGGUGAGCCAGCAUGGUUUUGUAUAUAAGCAAAAUGAAGAUGAUAAGAAAAAAAAUUGUGGAACUUUGUACUAUGAUCAAUAAAGUUCCUUAAGAGGUACGUUUUCUAAAGCA